AAUUGCAUUUUUGGGAGCCUGCUGUAUAUACGUGAUAAUCUUGGAGUCUCUGCGCGCUACCAAUAAAUUUAGAAUGGCUUUAAAAUUGCCUUCAUUGCCUUUUGAAUCCAGUGAAAGCGGUCCACUAUCACGGAGACCGCGAAAGGCAAUGUUUUGCCUUCCAACGCUGUAUACCAACCAAUUAAAUUCUGCGAAAUUACUGGAGAACAAAUCGUUACUUGGGUUGAGGAAAUAUUUGAAGCUUCUGAGUGAGAAAUUACUGGAGAACAAUCUAAGUUGGAUUUUUGAAAAUAAUCUGUCAGUUUUCUUAUUUUUCCAGGCGGAGGAGGCAUGAUGAUAAGAUAUUAAUAAUAUUAUAUUUAAACUGCGCGUUUAAGGCUGAAAACAAAUAUAACUGGCCGUCUUCCUAAGCAAAAUACUGGAAA